rnacentral:rRNA from 1 species
UACGUAGGGUGCGAGCGUUUAAUCGGAAUUACUGGGCGUAAAGCGUGCGCAGGCGGUUAUUUAAGUCAGGUGUGAAAGCCCUGGGCUUAACCUAGGAAUUGCGCUUGAGACUGGAUAGCUUGGAGUGCGGCAGAGGGAGGUGGAAUUCCACGUGUAGCAGUGAAAUGCGUAGAGAUGUGGAGGAACACCGAUGGCGGAGGCAGCCUCCUGGGCCAGCACUGACGCUCAUGCACGAAAGCGUGGGGAGCAAACAGG